AACAAUAAUAGCGCCUGAGCUAAGGAAAUCGGACGUAUAGCAAAUCCUUAGUUGACGAGGUGGAGGAUUAUCGAAUUUUCGGCGGAUACCUCCCGAUCGCAUGCCCGAUUGUUAAUUUCGUUUUUAAAACAAAAAAGCAAUUUUUUGGACAGC
rnacentral:ncRNA from 1 species